AUUUAUUGGAGCAAAACCAGGCGGCUUCGGCCGUUUUUGUUGAAUCAAAAUAACUAAGCUGACCGCAUAGGCUUGUCCUGGCGGCGUGUCGUUCGAGUGUCUGCCUUAUCAACUUUCGAUGGUAGUGUAUGUGACUACCAUGGUUGUGACGGGUAACGGAGGAUAAGGGUUCGACUCCGGAGAAGGGGCCUGAGAAAUGGCCACUACGUCUAAGGAUGGCAGCAGGCGCGCAAAUUACCCACUCUCGGUUCGAGGAGGUAGUGACGAAAAAUAACAAGGACGUUCUCUAUGAGGCCGUCCAUUGGAAUGGGUACAACUCAAACCCUUUAACGAGUAUCAAUGAGAGGGCAAGUCUGGUGCCAGCAGCCGCGGUAAUUCCAGCUCUCAAAAUGCAUAGAACCAUUGCUGCGGUUAAAAAGCUCGUAGUUGGAUCUGUGCCGGCUCCGUGGUCCACCCUAACGGGGGGCACUGCGUGAGUCGGCUUUAGGCCGGUCUUCGACUGGCGGCCUUCGGUCGUCCAGUUGUGGCUGGCUGGUUUACUUUGAGCAAAUCAGAGUGCUCAGCACAGGCGUUUCGCCGGAAUGUUCGUGCAUGGAAUAAUAGAAAAGGAUCACGGUCCUCUUUUAUUGGUUUUGUGGACUGAGAUAAUGGUUAACAGAGACGAACGGGGGCAUUCGUAUUGCUGCGUGAGAGGUGAAAUUCUUGGACCGCAGCAGGACGGACUACAGCGAAAGCAUUUGCCAAGCGCGUCUUCAUUAAUCAAGAACGAAAGUCAGAGGUUCGAAGGCGAUCAGAUACCGCCCUAGUUCUGACCGUAAACUAUGCCAACUAGCGAUCCGCCGGUGGCUCUUAGGCCCUGGUGGGGAGCUUCCCGGAAACGAAAGUCUUCCGGUUCCGGGGGAAGUAUGGUUGCAAAGCUGAAACUUAAAGGAAUUGACGGAAGGGCACCACCAGGAGUGGAGCCUGCGGCUUAAUUUGACUCAACACGGGAAAACUCACCCGGCCCGGACACCGUGAGGAUUGACAGAUUGAUAGCUUUUUCAUGAUUCGGUGGUUGGUGGUGCAUGGCCGUUCUUAGUUCGUGGAUCGAUUUGUCUGGUUUAUUCCGAUAACGAGCGAGACUCCAGCCUACUAACUAGUACAGGCAUUGCCUCUGUGCCUGGCACUUCUUAGAGGGAUUGGCUGCGUCUAGCGGCACGAAACGGAGCAAUAACAGGUCUGUGAUGCCCUUAGAUGUCCGGGGCUGCACGCGCGCUACACUGGCAAAGGCAGCGUGCUUGUCCGACUCCGAAAGGAGCUGGUAAACCCUUGAAAAUUUGCCGUGAUUGGGAUCGGAAAUUGCAAUUAUUUUCCGUGAACGAGGAAUUCCUAGUAAGUGCGAGUCAUCAGCUCGCGUUGAUUACGUCCCUGCCCUUUGUACACACCGCCCGUCGCUGCCUAGAACUGAGCCAUUUCGAGCAUAUCCGGGAUCGCUGGUUGCACGCCUUUCGGGGCGAGCCUCUGGCCUGAGAACGGACGUAAUCGCAGUGGCUUGAACCGGGCAAAAGUCGUAACAAGGUAGCUGUAGGUGAACCUGCUGCUGGAUCAUUACCUCGUCGCUACGACUUGCGAUGAUUGCGGGGACGGUUCGACCGACUUGUCGACCGGGUCCCGUCUCGGAGAGUCUACGAGCGCCACGCUUCUUUCAUUGGCACCAAAAAGCUAGAGCCCUUCCGUUACAGGCCUUGCUUGAUACCGCUCGUAGGCGAAAACGGCUCUGUUGGAUCCUAAGCAAAUGCUGAGCAGCUGUUUGCUUCUCAACGUCCGUGGCUGCAUAUGAGGCGUUUGCAACAGACCCAUGCGUGGGUUAGGAUUAAUGAGUACCGGAUACGGUGCCGCCAACAAAAAUCUUUUUUUCACUAUUUUUUAACGAACAGCUUAAGCUGUCGAGACAACAAACUAUAUUAGUCUUGCCGGUGGAU
rnacentral:rRNA from 1 species